rnacentral:lncRNA from 1 species
AAUCCUAAGCAAAUCCUAAUCAAAUUCUAAAUCUUAAACAAAUUCUUAACAAAUCCUAUAACAGAUUGAAACCUGAAGAACUAAUGAUUGAACCAUUGAUAUCAAUUCAAAUUUUUUACACUUUUUAAUAGCUUAGUUAGAGACAAGCAUAAGAAAGAUGAAAUCAAUCGCACUUAUCAAUUGAGAGAAAUACAAGAUAAUCCAAUUGGAUAUUAGAUGACAUCCUCCUCUAAUCUAAAUGCUAAACUUCUAGUAUCAAUAUCUCCUUCUUAAACUAUUAAAUUGCUUUCAAAAUUCAUCCAAAUAUUGAAAAUCAAGUUUAGCAUCCAUACAAAAAAAAUUCACUUCAAUCAAAUUGACAGAUUGCUAAAGAUCUUAGAAAUACUUACUAAUCCUUAAACUCCAAUUUUGGACACUUCAAUCCACAAAAGUCCUCAUAUACUUCAAUCUAAUUAUUUGAUUGACUUCAAAAUUUUCAUAUACAUUUACAACUAGCAUACCAACACAUUGACCAAAUUGAACCCAUACAUACACCAUAGAACUCAAGAAACCUUCAAAUUUAUAAAUAUAUUUUUAUUUCUCAAAUCCUAUCUUGCCAAAAACAUCACUAACUUUAAAAAUCUCUCAAAAACUUAAUAUUAAUUUAAAUGACGUGAAAAAAAUGCUUAAAAAUAUUCCUUCAAGUGUGCUCUCAAAUCUUAUUCUUUGAUUCCUAAAAAAGCUCCUAAGUCACCAUAUAUGCAUGGUUUUGUGCCUUAGGGUCUAAUUUCAAUUUAGGUUGAUAACUAGUCUUUUUGAGAUAUCAAUUUUUGGUAAUUUUUGGUAAUUUUUAUUCUAACAUAUUUUUAACUCUCUC